GUUUUCCCCUGCCCGUUCCACAAUGAAGCCCAGCUUGAAAAUGGGACAGUAGAGGUCGGAGGCCUCAUCGAAUGUGCAGCGUUUCAGGCCCUUUGCUUGAGCUACAGGUGCGCUCUGAGCCGUCAGUUCUUGCGCCUCCUCCACCCAAUCGCCCAGCCCUCGCGUCUCUCCUGGACUGUGGCUAAGGCUCCUAACUGUGCUUUUAUCCACUUCCACAUGCACGAGAAUGAAGUUAGACAGACCCCCUCCUCACAUCAUAUACAAAAACUAACUCAAAAUGCAUCAAGUACCUAAAUGUAAGAACUAAAACCAUAAAACUCUUGGAAGAAAACAUGAGAACAAGCAUUUGUGGAGUUAGAUUUGGCAAUGGAUUCUUACAAAUGACAAAAAUAUAAGCAAAAAAAAAAAAA